rnacentral:rRNA from 1 species
GGAGGGGGCUAGCGUUGUUCGGAUUUACUGGGCGUAAAGGGCGCGUAGGCGGUAUGCCAUGUCAGGGGUGAAAGGCCUGGGCUCAACCCAGGAACUGCCUUUGAAACUGGCAAACUAGAGUCCGAUAGAGGAUGGCGGAAUUCCCAGUGUAGAGGUGAAAUUCGUAGAUAUUGGGAAGAACACCAGUGGCGAAGGCGGCCAUCUGGGUCGGCACUGACGCUGAGGCGCGAAAGCGUGGGGAGCAAACAGGGAUUAGAUACCCUGGUAGUCCACGCCGUAAACGAUGUGUGCUAGACGUUGGGGGGCCCUUAGGCCCCUGGGUGUCGCAGCUAACGCGUUAAGCACACCGCCUGGGGAGUACGGCCGCAAGGUUA